UAAUUAAACGAACGACCAAAUCAUGCACCGUGAAGACCUGGCAGUGCCGAAAAACAAAUAAGAUGUUGUUUGAUUACACGGAUGAAUGCAAAGAAAUGGUGGAGUGGAAUCUUAAACCUCAGAGAAACAGGCGAUCAGGACUGACCCUCUCGGAGAAGCCCACUGGGACUGACUGACUAGUACAAGAGCGGAGGUUCUCAUUU